rnacentral:lncRNA from 1 species
CUGGCCUGGGAGAGGAGGGCCAGCCAUGGUCUCCGCACACAAAGAAGUGACAGUCCUGAGCAGAGCCACUAGAAUGAGCAAGUGGAGAGCAAGUUAGAGUGAAGAGUGGAGGUGAGAGGAAGUGGGCUGCCUGCCAUCCUGAGAAAGAAAAGGGGAGCUGGCAGCCUAACCCAGCUCCCUCCAGAGAGCUCUCUGAUUAGAGCAAAAAAGCAAAACCUCACCAUCUCCUGCAAGCACUGGGAAAGCUCCCUUCAGAGUCAGGGCUGAAAAUUCACAGGACGCUUGCCGAGUGGGACUCCAGGUUUGAGAAAGUCUGAUUCCUGGGAGCACCGUGGGCAACUCAGUGCCUCCUCCUGGGCUCUGAUGUUCUCACCUGUAUCAGUGCAGUGGGAUAAAGACUCAGGUUCUCCAACCCCCAGCACAGUGCCUGUGGUCCAGGUGCCAGGUGUCUGACCUGAGAGGAUGCUCCUCCAUCAUCCUUCCUGGGGAGCACAAUUAAAGAAGAGAGAAAAAGAAGCACAGAAAUUCAGAGAAGAAUUUUCCCCAAAGCCCAAGGCAUUUUAGAUUUGCUCUAUUUCUGUAAGUAUUUAUUAAGUAACUGUCUAAUUCUUAUUAUUAUGGUGGCUCCUGAAAGGGUACAGAGGAAAGAGAACCAGCAAUGCCUGUCCUUGGAAUUUGCAGUCUAGAAGGAGAGAAGCAUUUACUGAG